rnacentral:rRNA from 1 species
CCUACGGGAGGCAGCAGUGAGGAAUAUUGGUCAAUGGACGCAAGUCUGAACCAGCCAUGCCGCGUGCAGGAAGACGGCUCUAUGAGUUGUAAACUGCUUUUGUACGAGGGUGAACGCAGAUACGCGUAUCUGUCUGAAAGUAUCGUACGAAUAAGGAUCGGCUAACUCCGUGCCAGCAGCCGCGGUAAUACGGAGGAUUCAAGCGUUAUCCGGAUUUAGUGGGUUUAAAGGGUGCGUAGGCGGUCGGAUAAGUUAGAGGUGAAAUCCCGAGGCUCAACUUCGGAAUUGACUCUGAUACUGUUCGGCUAGAGAGUAGUUGCGGUAGGCGGAAUGUAUGGUGUAGCGGUGAAAUGCUUAGAGAUCAUACAGAACACCGAUUGCGAAGGCAGCUUACCAAGCUACGUCUGACGUUGAGGCACGAAAGCGUGGGGAGCAAACAGGAUUAGAUACCCUUGUAGUC